rnacentral:misc_RNA from 1 species
GCCAUCCUCAUCUAGUUGGUUUGUUCAAACCAUUUUGAUAAAGCUGACAUGACCUACCGGAUGAGUCUAAAUCAGUCGGUAACCAAGAUUCAAUCUUUUAUACACCUAGAAAACAUAAACUAAGAGAAAAGUUAAAAAAACAGGAACUUAAUUAAAAAAAAAUGUGAAAAUAAAAUCAAUUUAUUACAGCAAAGAGUUAGACGUCUUUAAAACAGGAACUUGCCCCUCAGAGGAAUCAUGAAUUACUUAAAAACGCAAGUUUUCAUUGACACAGAUUUAUAUAAUUAAAUAAAUCAAAACACGGCUACAAUAGAUUUAUGUAACAAUUUGAAUCGAAAAAAGGAGUAAAUAUAUUUAAAACUAUGAACAG